rnacentral:rRNA from 1 species
AUUGAACGCUGGCGGUAGGCCUAACACAUGCAAGUCGAACGCGAAAGUCCUUCGGGAUGAGUAGAGUGGCGGACGGGUGAGUAACGCGUAGGAAUCUAUCCUGUAGUGGGGGAGUAACGUUUCGAAAGGAACGCUAAUACCGCAUACGCCCCAACGGGGGAAAGGCGGGGGAGUCUUCGGACCUCGUGCUAUAGGAGGAGCCUGCGUCGGAUUAGCUAGUUGGUGAGGUAAAGGCUCACCAAGGCGACGAUCCGUAGCUGGUCUGAGAGGAUGAUCAGCCACACCGGAACUGAGACACGGUCCGGACUCCUACGGGAGGCAGCAGUGGGGGAAUAUUGCGCAAUGGGCGAAAGCCUGACGCAGCCAUACCGCGUGUGUGAAGAAGGCCUUCGGUUGU